rnacentral:rRNA from 1 species
CGGUUGAUCCUGCCGGACCCGACUGCUAUCAGAGUGAGACUAAGCCAUGCGAGUCAACGUAUGAAUAAUGCGUGGCAUACGGCUCAGUAACACGUAGUCAACAUGCCCAGAGGACGUGGAUAACCUCGGGAAACUGAGGAUAAACCGCGAUAGGCCAUAAUUACUGGAAUGCAUUAUGGUUGAAAUCUAUAUGGCCUCUGGAUUGGACUGCGGCCGAUCAGGCUGUUGGUGAGGUAAUGGCCCACCAAACCUGUUACCGGUACGGGCUCUGAGAGGAGGAGCCCGGAGAUGGGCACUGAGACAAGGGCCCAGGUCCUAUGGGGCGCAGCAGGCGCGAAACCUCUGCAAUGGGCGAAAGCCUGACAGGGUUACUCUGAGUGAUUCCCGCUAAGGGAAUCUUUUGGCACCUCUAAAAAUGGUGCAGAAUAAGGGGUGGGCAAGUCUGGUGUCAGCCGCCGCGGUAAUACCAGCACCCCGAGUGGUCGGACGAUUAUUGGGCCUAAAGCAUCCGUAGCCGGUUUUACAAGUCUUCCGUUAAAUCCAGCUGCUUAACAGAUGGGCUGCGGAGGAUACUACAAAGCUAGGAGGCGGAAGAGGCAAGCGGUACUCAAUGGGUAGGGGUAAAAUCCUCUGAUCCAUUGA